rnacentral:rRNA from 1 species
ACGGGAGGCAGCAGUGGGGAAUAUUGCACAAUGGGGGAAACCCUGAUGCAGCGAUGCCGCGUGGAGGAAGAAGGUUUUCGGAUUGUAAACUCCUGUCUUAAAGGACGAUAAUGACGGUACUUUAGGAGGAAGCUCCGGCUAACUACGUGCCAGCAGCCGCGGUAAUACGUAGGGAGCGAGCGUUGUCCGGAAUUACUGGGUGUAAAGGGAGCGUAGGCGGGACGGCAAGUCAGAUGUGAAAUACAUGGGCUCAACCCAUGGGCUGCAUUUGAAACUGCUGUUCUUGAGUGAAGUAGAGGUAAGCGGAAUUCCUGGUGUAGCGGUGAAAUGCGUAGAUAUCAGGAGGAACACCGGUGGCGAAGGCGGCUUACUGGGCCUUUACUGACGCUGAGGCACGAAAGCGUGGGGAGCAAACAGGAUUAGAUACCCUGGUA